CUUAAUACAUGCAAGUCGAACGGAGAGAUUAGCAAUAGUCUUUUAGUGGCGAACGGGUGAGUAACGCGUGGGUGACCUGCCCCGAAGAUUGGGAUAACAGUUCGAAAGGGCUGCUAAUACCGGAUGAGGUCAAGGGAAUUAGAAACUUUUGACGAAAGGUGAAAAUCGCUUCGGGAGGGACCUGCGUCCCAUUAGCUGGUUGGUGAUGUAACGGCUCACCAAGGCGAUGAUGGGUAGGGGGCCUGAGAGGGUGACCGGCCACAUUGGGACUGAGACACGGGCCAGACUCCUACGGGUGGCAGCAGUGGGGGAUUUUGGGCAAUGGGCGCAAGCCUGAUGGAGCGACGCCGCGUGCGCGAUGAAGGCCUUCGGGUUGUAAAGCUCUUUUUUGGGGGACGAGGAAGGACGGUACCUCUGGAGUAAGCCACGGCUAACUACGUGCCAGCAGCCGCGGUAAUACGUAGGUGGCGAGCGUUGUUCGGAUUUACUGGGCGUAAAGGGCGUGCAGGCGGUUCUGUUAAGUCCGGGGUGAAAUCCUUCGGCUCAACUGGAGGGGGACCUUGGAUACUGGCAGGCUGGAGUGCGGGAGAGGGAAGCGGAAUUCCACGUGUAACGGUGAAAUGUAUAGAUAUGUGGAGGAACACCGGUGGCGAAGGCGGCUUCCUGGACCGUAACUGACGCUGAGGCGCGAAAGCUGGGGGAGCGAACAGGAUUAGAUACUCUGGUAGUCCCAGCCGUAAACUAUGAACACUAGGUGUGGGGGGUAUCGACCCCUUCCGUGCCGCAGCUAACGCAAUAAGUGU
rnacentral:rRNA from 1 species